rnacentral:rRNA from 1 species
UACGUAGGUGGCGAGCGUUGUCCGGAAUUACUGUGCGUAAAGCGUGCGCAGGCGGUUUUCCAAGUCAGUGGUGAAAGCCCGGAGCUCAACUCCGGAACUGCCAUUGAAACUGUGAAACUAGAGUACGAGAGAGGUGAGUGGAAUUCCCAGUGUAGAGGUGAAAUUCGUAGAUAUUGGGAAGAACACCCGUGGCGAAGGCGGCUCUCUGGGACGGUACUGACGCUGAGACGCGAAAGCGUGGGGAGCGAACAGG